UGACAAAAUGGUCUGCCAAGAAUCCUCUGAGUAACUCCCACGUUAAAUUGUCAUUACUUCCGCACAACCUCCACUUAAUUCUUCCAGCGGGGUGUAGACAAGGCCUUUUGUGGAGGUCACGUGAAGUGUCUCAUGGAUGCUGCCUGGAUGCGAGCCACACAUCCCAUCCCUGCUGCCUGCUGCCUGUACUACUUUGAAGUGAAGGUUGUCAGAGGGCAGAAAUGGCGACUAGGUGUUGACUCGGUGUUGGAAGUCGCCCGUGCAGAAGCGUACUAUCUCCAUCCAGCCAAUGAGAGACCGCGGAGUGCUGUGACGUCAGAGCGCUGAGCCAAUGAGAGCGCCGUAUCUUCUCCUGCCUCAGCCCCGCUCUGCCUCAAUCUAGUUGCACUCAUGCCCCAAAAUGCCCAUCCAUUCUACCGGUCUAUCAUCGACGCCCAAGCAGGUGAUGUCAAUAGCACUCAAGAUGAUGGUGAACACGACAACUUGGAUGAACUGUUGGAGUACGAAUCGUAAAGGCAUUGAGGGGUGGGGGGGAGGGGGGAAGUGUGUAAUAAACAAUGAAAGUUAGUGAUACCUGUAAUAAAGAAAGGGAAAGUUAGUGUUACCUCAAGAUUGUGUGAAGUGAGAAGUGCAAGAUACCAAGACACCAAUAUCAUUGAACAUAGCUGAGUAAAAACUAAAAAAAAAAAAAAAA